rnacentral:rRNA from 1 species
CAGCACCUCAAGUGGUCAGGAUGAUUAUUGGGCCUAAAGCAUCCGUAGCCGGCGCUGUAAGUUUUCGGUUAAAUCUGUACGCUCAACGUACAGGCUGCCGGGAAUACUGCAGCGCUAGGGAGUGGGAGAGGUAGACGGUACUCGGUAGGAAGGGGUAAAAUCCUUUGAUCUAUUGAUGACCACCUGUGGCGAAGGCGGUCUACCAGAACACGUCCGACGGUGAGGGAUGAAAGCUGGGGGAGCAAACCGGAUUAGAUACCUGAGUAGUCC